AUUGAACGCUGGCGGCAUGCCUUACACAUGCAAGUCGAACGGCAGCACGGGAGCAAUCCUGGUGGCGAGUGGCGAACGGGUGAGUAAUAUAUCGGAACGUGCCCGGUCGUGGGGGAUAACGUAGCGAAAGCUACGCUAAUACCGNAUACGAUCUACGGAUGAAAGCGGGGGAUCGCAAGACCUCGCGCGAUUGGAGCGGCCGAUAUCAGAUUAGGUAGUUGGUGAGGUAAAGGCGUCACCAAGCCGACGAUCUGUAG
rnacentral:rRNA from 1 species